GACACCAAACUGGAGCAAACCGAAGGAUGUGCUGUGUGCUUUCUGUUCCAUAUCUCACUGUCUGUCCCCGAUGAUGAUUGUUUACAGUCCCCUUAAGGAAACCAGCGCACACCUUGGCAGCACAAUGCCAUGCACUGACCAAGAGAGAAUCCAUUACAAUACAGCUGUGCAUUCACGUUGGAUGAGCUGAGUGAGUGUGGGAAGCUGUGGUGUCCGACUCAGGAACGCCACAUCCAGUGUAACUACAGCUGUAAACAAAGCCAUCUCUUCUCUCUGCGUAUCGUUAGGGUUAAGGUUGGGGUUAGCCUAACCCUAACCCUGACCCUAACCCUAGGGCCUAAGCCAUCUCUUCUCUCUACGUAUAGUUCCCGCCCAGGCAGCCAAGCCCAGUGGCAUGUCGAGAAACUUCCUGCCAUCCGAUUCCCAUCUUUCUACCUGGGGACUAAAGUACCUGCCUGAACUGUUAGCCGUCAUCCCCUUCAGAGGUCAGCGCAGACUCAAGGUGCUCCUGACCAGCAACCACAGGGAGGAGGGGAGUUACACAGGGGAGAAGUUAAUGAGUGGUUAAACACACACACACGGGCACACACACACACACACACACACACUGUGGCAUCCCGCCACGUAAACCUCGGCCUGGACAGGCCCGAGGGACCGUGAAGGACGGGGUAUACCACCCCCACCCACCAGCCGGCGACGGAGAGCAUCCCUUUCGCCUCCCCAAUCAGGGUGAUUGGUGGACACCUGGCCGGUGGCAGAGGAGCCAUCUUAAAGGAGGUCGAGGACAGACAGCAGCACGGCACGGGAGGAAGAAGGAAGUGCUCGUGGCAGCAAGAGAGCCAGAGAGCCUAGAGGCCCACGGAGGACCUAGAGACCGCGUUUCCUUCAUGGUUUGAUUGUUUAAGAUGAUUGUUAAAUAAAUGCCUGCAAUGGCUAAAACCCCAAUGGUAAGCGUGGUUUGUCCGUGGAACCUGGCCCAACCGAGCACCGGGUUACCACAACACACACACACACACACACACACACACACAACCCUACACACAACCCUACACAGACAUACAUGCACGUAGGAAUGCAAGCAUGCACAAGCUCACACACACACACACACACAUACACACUUAUGGUAUGCACGCAUGCAUAUUCACAUACACACACAAACACACACACACACAUACAUGCAUAUGCACUCAUACAUGCCUCCAUA
rnacentral:lncRNA from 1 species